GGUGGUGUCCGCGGCUCCCGGCUUGUGACAGCCCCGCUGGCCGCCGAUCCUUGGGCCUGAGGCAGCCGCAGCACCGGGCAGACCAUGGAGCUUGGGAUAGCGGAGGUGCAGCGCCGUGCCUGAGGGCGGGCUGGGGCGCUAGCGCCAUGGAUAGCCGGUGCUAUGGGUGCGCGUCCAAGUUCUCUGUCUUCAAGAAAGAGUGUGGCUGCAAGAACUGCGGACGCUCCUUCUGCUCGGGCUGCCGGAGCUUUAGCGCUGUUGUUCCCCGCUGUGGAAACACUCAGCAGAAGGUGUGCAAGCAGUGCUAUGGGAAACUAACUGGAGAAGGAUCUCAAAGCAGUUCAGCAAAAUGGUCACCACCAGAAAACUACAAAAAGCGUGUAGCAGCUUUUGAGGCUAAACAAAACCAGCUGAAAGACAGACAGAAGGCAGCUGCAAAACCCCCAGGUCGAGCAGGCUGCAGAUACCAGGGGCUCUCAAAAGAGGAUAGAGCUAUUGCAGAGAGACUGGAGAGACUCAGGGAGGAAAGGAAACCAAAGUCCAUCCCUACUCAGGCUGAGAUUGAAGCUAGGCUGGCAGCCCUGAAGGAGGACGGCCGAGGACCUGUUCCAUCCACACAGGAAAUGGAGGACCGGUUGGCUGUCCUGCAGGGUAGAGAUCCUCCUUCCCAAGCUCCCAGACCUGUGCACCAAGCCCCGGAUACCCGAAGUCUGGUCCAGCAGACAGAUGACCUGUUAACUCAACUGUCUGAGGAGGUUGCCAUUGAUGAGCAUUACAGACCAAGAGUUCAGCCUCAAGCUGUUAAUAGCCAGAGUUUGAAUGAUCUCAAUCGGGGAAGUGAAGAUUGUGUUUGCCCUGCAAAUCUGGACCCAAAACAGCUAGAGGAAGAGAAGAAUAAACUUCUGGCAGAAGCUGCUGCUGAGCUGCAGGAAGAGAACACUAGGCAGGAAAAGAUCCUACAGGUUGCCAAGAGACUGGCAGCACUCAAAGGCGAGGACCCAGAGAAAGUUACACUGGAAACCUAUAAGCUCCCUGACAGUGAUGAGGAAGUGGCUGAGGAGGAGGCCAUUCGCCGAGUGCUGAAACAGCUCACAGAGGAAGCAGCCCUGGAUGAAGCAAGUGGAUUCAACAUUCCCCCAGAUCAGACCACCCAUCCAGGACCCUCACAACAGAACCUGUGUAAGCAAGCAAAGCAAAAGAGCCACACUCCAGCCACCACAGCUCUUGCAAGGGCAGAUGAUAGUGAUGAGGAUGAGUUACCCUGGUGCUGCAUCUGUAACGAAGAUGCCACUUUGCGCUGCCAUGGCUGUGACGGGGACCUCUACUGUCAGCGCUGUUUUUGGGAAGGCCAUGAGGAGUUUGACCUGAAGGACCACCAGACCUCCCGCUAUCAUCUUCCUUGCAAACAGAAGUGACCACACUUAUGGGCAGAAGAGGAGCUGGAGAAUGGGAAAACAGAGGAGCCAGCCAGAUGGGAAGAAUCUAAGUGGAUUUGCAGCCAGAACGGUGGAUGAAAAACAGAAGUCUUGAUGAGCUCCUGAGAAUUAUAUUCACUGCUCCUUGGCCAGCAUGGAAAUUCCUAGAAGAAUCUAAAGGAGGGACAUCUUGUCCGGUUCCUCAGGUUAACACACUCUUUAAGAAUCAGGAAAAUGUACAAUCUAGCUCCCUCCGAUGUGUGAAGGAGUGGAGACUUCAAACCACUGGUACAAAGUUCACAAACUGGGUGAAGUUUCUCAAUAAUAAUAAGUCCUAAACAUACUCAGAAGUUCUGUUGCUGAUCCUGGUUUUUGUCAGGAAGAUACAUGUUUCCUUGUAACCAAAGCAGGGUUUUCCUUGUGAGCAAGGUCAUUUCUUCUGAGGAUUGGUGACUCUUCGGAGACCUCUCAAUCGACUGAGCAAUUCUGUGAUGAAGUCCUACAAUAAGAGUUGGUUGAAGGAUGUCGUAUUAAUUCCAGCACUCACCAGCCCAAAGCAUAC